rnacentral:rRNA from 1 species
AGUCGAGGGGCAGCAUGAUUGAAGCUUGCUUCAAUUGAUGGCGACCGGCGCACGGGUGAGUAACGCGUAUCCAACCUUCCGUACACUCAGGGAUAGCCUUUCGAAAGAAAGAUUAAUACCUGAUGGUAUGAUGAGAUUGCAUGAUAGCAUCAUUAAAGAUUUAUCGGUGUACGAUGGGGAUGCGUUCCAUUAGGUAGUAGGCGGGGUAAUGGCCCACCUAGCCGACGAUGGAUAGGGGUUCUGAGAGGAAGGUCCCCCACAUUGGAACUGAGACACGGUCCAAACUCCUACGGGAGGCAGCAGUGAGGAAUAUUGGUCAAUGGACGAGAGUCUGAACCAGCCAAGUAGCGUGAAGGAUGAAGGUCCUACGGAUUGUAAACUUCUUUUAUAAGGGAAUAAAACCUCCCACGUGUGGGAGCUUGUAUGUACCUUAUGAAUAAGCAUCGGCUAACUCCGUGCCAGCAGCCGCGGUAAUACGGAGGAUGCGAGCGUUAUCCGGAUUUAUUGGGUUUAAAGGGAGCGCAGACGGGUCGUUAAGUCAGCUGUGAAAGUUUGGGGCUCAACCUUAAAAUUGCAGUUGAUACUGGCGUCCUUGAGUGCGGUUGAGGUGUGCGGAAUUCGUGGUGUAGCGGUGAAAUGCUUAGAUAUCACGAAGAACUCCGACUGCGAAGGCAGCACACUAAGCCGUAACUGACGUUCAUGCUCGAAAGUGUGGGUAUCAAACAGGAUUAGAUACCCUGGUAGUCCACACGGUAAACGAUGGAUACUCGCUGUUGGCGAUAUACAGUCAGCGGCUUAGCGAAAGCGUUAAGUAUCCCA